rnacentral:rRNA from 1 species
AUUGAACGCUGGCGGCAGGCCUAACACAUGCAAGUCGAACGAGUGGCGGACGGGGGAGUAAUGUCUGGGAAACUGCCUGAUGGAGGGGGAUAACUACUGGAAACGUUAGCUAAUACCGCCUACUAUCGGAUGUGCCCAUAUGGGUUUAGCUAGUAGGUGGGGUAACGGCUCACCUAGGCGACGAUCCCGAGCUGGUCGGAGAGGAUGACCAGCCACACUGGAACUGGGACACGGCACAGACUCAUAGGGGAGGCGGCAGUGGGGAAUAUUGCAGCAUGGGCGCAAGCCUGAUGCAGACAUACCGCGUGUAUGAAGAAGGCCUUCGGGUUGUAAAGUACUUUCGGCCGGGAGGCGUUACCCGCAGAAGAAGCCCCGGCUAACUACGUGCCAGCAGCCGCGGUAAUAC